rnacentral:SRP_RNA from 1 species
UUUUGGGACAGCCGGACGUACAGGAUUAUGAAUUCGGUCAGGUUCGGAAGAAAGCAGCCGUAGUGAACACCGGACGGGUUGGUUGUCCUUUUCCCA